rnacentral:rRNA from 1 species
AGUGGUUUAUCCACAUAAAAUUCUAGAUAGAAUGCUGAUAAUGACAAUUUUCUAUCUAUAAGUCUUGACCAAAUCACGUGCCAGCAGUCGCGGUAAUACGAGGAAGACGAGUGUUAUUCAUCUUUAAUAGGUUUAAAGGGUACCUAGACGGUAUAUCUAGCCUUUUCCAUAAGGGUACGGAUUUAACUAGAGUUUCAUGUAAGAGGUAUAUAUCAGUACUGACAGAGUAGAGAUAAAAUUUUUUGAUACUGUACGGCACUGGUAACGGCGAAGGCAACCCUUUAUGUAAAAACUGACGUUGAGGGACGAAGGCUUGGGUAGCAAACAGGAUUAGAUACCCUAAUAGUCCAUGCAGAAAAUGAUGAGUGCCAUAGGUUAGAAUUAUUUUGAUCUAUAAAUGAAAGUGUAAGCAUUCCACCUCAAGAGUAGUGUGGCAACACAGGAACUGAAAUCAUUAGACCGUUUCUGAAACCAGUAGUGAAGUAUGUUGUUUAAUUCGAUGAUCCGCGAAAAACCUAGCCACAAUUUGAAUAUUAUAGCAAUU